CAUGCAGUCGAGCGAAGCGAUUUAAGUGAAGUUUUCGGAUGGAUCUUAAAUUGACUGAGCGGCGGACGGGUGAGUAACGCGUGGAUAACCUGCCUCACACAGGGGGAUAACAGUUAGAAAUGACUGCUAAUACCGCAUAAGCGCACGGUACCGCAUGGUACAGUGUGAAAAACUCCGGUGGUGUGAGAUGGAUCCGCGUCUGAUUAGGUAGUUGGUGAGGUAACGGCCCACCAAGCCGACGAUCAGUAGCCGACCUGAGAGGGUGACCGGCCACAUUGGGACUGAGACACGGCCCAAACUCCUACGGGAGGCAGCAGUGGGGAAUAUUGCACAAUGGGCGAAAGCCUGAUGCAGCAACGCCGCGUGAGUGAAGAAGUAUCUCGGUAUGUAAAGCUCUAUCAGCAGGGAAGAAAAUGACGGUACCUGACUAAGAAGCCCCGGCUAACUACGUGCCAGCAGCCGCGGUAAUACGUAGGGGGCAAGCGUUAUCCGGAUUUACUGGGUGUAAAGGGAGCGCAGACGGCACUGCAAGUCUGAAGUGAAAGCCCGGGGCUCAACCCCGGGACUGCUUUGGAAACUGUAGAGCUAGAGUGCUGGAGAGGCAAGCGGAAUUCCUAGUGUAGCGGUGAAAUGCGUAGAUAUUAGGAAGAACACCAGUGGCGAAGGCGGCUUGCUGGACAGUAACUGACGUUCAGGCUCGAAAGCGUGGGGAGCAAACAGGAUUAGAUAC
rnacentral:rRNA from 1 species